rnacentral:lncRNA from 1 species
AGAAACCCUCCUCCCCUCCCAGCCUCAGGUGCCUGCUUCAGAAAAUGAAGUAGUAAGUCUGCUGGCCUCCGCCAUCUUAGUAAAGUAACAGUCCCAUGAAACAAAGAUGCAGUCGGGCACUCACUGGAGAGUUCUGGGCCUCUGCCUCUUAUCAGUUGGCGUUUGGGGGCAAGAUGGUAAUGAAGAAAUGGGUGGUAUUACACAGACACGUGAGUUUAUUGGUCUUUUAUUUAUGCCCUGUCUGAGGAUGCAGAUUGGUGGGUAGAUGAGAAGGAACUGAUUGAGAGAGAUUAACCCCAAGAACUGAUAUCUUCCCAGCAUUGCAUUCUCAACUCCAUUUUAGAAAGGUUCCAAAUAGGGACUUCUGUGGGUUUUUCUUUACAUCCAUCUUACCCUUCCCAAGUCCCCAUGUCCCUGCGUAAACCCUAAAGCCACCUCUCAAAAGGUUCUCUAGUUCCCUUCAAGGUUCUCUAGUUCCCUUCAUUCCACAUAUCUCCUCUUCCACACCCUCUAGCCAGUAGAGCUCCCUUCUGACAAGCAAGUCUAAGAUCUAGAUGACAGAUGACUUCCUGCAUUUGGGUGGUUCUUUUGUCACUAAUUUGCCUUUUCUAAAAUUGUCCUGGUUUCUUCUGCCAAUUUCCCUUCUUUCUCCCCAGCAUAUAAAGUCUCCAUCUCUGGAACCACAGUAAUAUUGACAUGCCCUCAGUAUCCUGGAUCUGAAAUACUAUGGCAACACAAUGAUAAAAACAUAGGCGGUGAUGAGGAUGAUAAAAACAUAGGCAGUGAUGAGGAUCACCUGUCACUGAAGGAAUUUUCAGAAUUGGAGCAAAGUGGUUAUUAUGUCUGCUACCCCAGAGGAAGCAAACCAGAAGAUGCGAACUUUUAUCUCUACCUGAGGGCAAGAGUGUGUGAGAACUGCAUGGAGAUGGAUGUGAUGUCGGUG